AGUGAACGCUGGCGGUAGGCCUAACACAUGCAAGUCGAACGGCAGCACAGUAAGAGCUUGCUCUUACGGGUGGCGAGUGGCGGACGGGUGAGGAAUACAUCGGAAUCUACUUUUUCGUGGGGGAUAACGUAGGGAAACUUACGCUAAUACCGCAUACGACCUACGGGUGAAAGCGGGGGAUCUUCGGACCUUGCGCGAUUGAAUGAGCCGAUGUCGGAUUAGCUAGUUGGCGGGGUAAAGGCCCACCAAGGCGACGAUCCGUAGCUGGUAUGAGAGGAUGAACCGCCACACGGGAACUGAGACACGGUCCAGACUCCUACAGGAGGAAGCAGUGGAGAAUAUUGGACGAUGGACGCGAGCCUGAUACAGCCAUACCGCGUGAGUGAAGAAGGCCUUCGGGUUGUAGAGCCCUUUUGUUGGGAGAGAAGAGCAGCAGGUUAAUACCCCGCUAUUCUGACGGUACCGAAAGAAUAAGCACCGGCUAACUUCGUG
rnacentral:rRNA from 1 species